UUAGGUCCGCACUUCUAU
rnacentral:misc_RNA from 1 species